rnacentral:tRNA from 1 species
GAAGUGUUAGUAAAACAAUCACGUAGCCUUGUCAAGACUAAAUUACAGGUGAGAGCCCUGUACACUUCA